rnacentral:rRNA from 1 species
AGAGCGAACGCUGGCGGCAGGCCUAACACAUGCAAGUCGAACGGACCCUUCGGGGUUAGUGGCGGACGGGUGAGUAACACGUGGGAACGUGCCUUUUGGUUCGGAAUAGCUCCUGGAAACGGGUGGUAAUGCCGAAUGUGCCCUUCGGGGGGAAAGAUUUAUCGCCAUUAGAGCGGCCCGCGUCUGAUUAGCUAGUUGGUAAGGUAAUGGCUUACCAAGGCGACGAUCAGUAGCUGGUCUGAGAGGAUGACCAGCCACAUUGGGACUGAGACACGGCCCAAACUCCUACGGGAGGCAGCAGUGGGGAAUCUUGCGCAAUGGCGAAAGCCUGACGCAGCCAUGCCGCGUGAAUGAUGAAGGUCUUAGGAUUGUAAAAUUCUUUCACGGGUACGAUAAUGACGGUACCCGGAGAAGAAGCCCGGCUAACGUUCGUGCCAGCAGCCGC